rnacentral:tRNA from 1 species
GGGUAGGUGCCCGAGUGGCUAAAGGGGACAGACUGUAAAUCUGUUGACUUCGGUCUUCGAAGGUUCGAAUCCUUCCCUACCCACCA